rnacentral:rRNA from 1 species
AGAGUUUGAUCCUGGCUCAGGAUGAACGCUAGCGGCAGGCCUAACACAUGCAAGUCGAGGGGUAACGAUGUCUUCGGACAGGCGACGACCGGCGCACGGGUGAGUAUCGCGUUUGUAACCUACCUUUAACUGGAGAAUAGCCCGAAGAAAUUCGGAUUAAUACUCCAUAAUACUAUGAACUGGCAUCUUUUUAUAAAAAAAGUUUCGACGGUUAUGGAUGGGCAUGCGUGCCAUUAGUUUGUUGGUGAGGUAACGGCUCACCAAGGCUAUGAUGGCUAGGGGGUCUUAAAGGAUGGUCCCCCACACUGGUACUGAGACACGGACCAGACUCCUACGGGAGGCAGCAGUGAGGAAUAUUGGUCAAUGGGCGCAAGCCUGAACCAGCCAUGCCGCGUGCAGGAAGACGGCCCUAUGGGUUGUAAACUGCUUUUAUAUAGGAAGAAAAUGUUCUACGUGUAGAGCACUGACGGUACUAUAAGAAUAAGCAUCGGCUAACUCCGUGCCAGCAGCCGCGGUAAUACGGAGGAUGCAAGCGUUAUCCGGAUUUAUUAGGUUUAAAGGUGCGCAGGCGGCCUAUUAAGUCAGUGGUGAAAGUUUGCAGCUUAACUGUAGAACUACCAUUGAUACUCUUGAUCUUGAGUAUAGUUGAGGUAGGCGGAAUGUGUAAUGUAGCGGUGAAAUGCUUAGAUAUUACACAUAACACCGAUCGGGAAGGGCAGUUUACUAAGCUAUGAUAGAACGCUGAGGCACGAAAGCGUGGGGAGCGAACAGGAUUAGAUACCCUGGUAGUCCACGCUGUAAACGAUGAUCACUCGUUGUUGGCAAUACAUCGUCAGCGACUGAGCGAAAGCAUUAAGUGAUCCACCUGGGGAGUACGAUCGCAAGAUUGAAACUCAAAGGAAUUGACGGGGGCCCGCACAAGCGGAGGAACAUGUGGUUUAAUUCGAUGAUACGCGAGGAACCUUACCUGGGCUUAAAUGUAGAACGACGGAUCGGGAAACUGAUCUUUCUUCGGACGCUUUGCAAGGUGCUGCAUGGCUGUCGUCAGCUCGUGCCGUGAGGUGUCGGGUUAAGUCCCAUAACGAGCGCAACCCUCAUCAUUAGUUGCCAGCGAGUAAUGUCGGGGACUCUAAUGAAACUGCCGGGGUAACCGUGAGGAAGGUGGGGAUGACGUCAAGUCAGCACGGCCCUUAUGUCCAGGGCUACACACGUGUUACAAUGGUCGAUACAAAGGGCAGCUACCUGGUGACAGGAUGCUAAUCUCCAAAAUCGAUCUCAGUUCGGAUCGAAGUCUGCAACUCGACUUCGUGAAGCUGGAUUCGCUAGUAAUCGCGCAUCAGCCACGGCGCGGUGAAUACGUUCCCGGGCCUUGUACACACCGCCCGUCAAGCCAUGGAAGCUGGGGGUACCUGAAGUCCGUAACCGUAAGGAGCGACCUAGGGUAAAACCGAUAACUAGGGCUAAGUCGUAACAAGGUA